rnacentral:rRNA from 1 species
AACGAACGCUGGCGGCAUGCCUAAUACAUGCAAGUCGAACGAUCCCUUCGGGGAUAGUGGCGCACGGGUGCGUAACGCGUGGGAAUCUGCCCUUGGGUUCGGAAUAACGUCGGGAAACUGACGCUAAUACCGGAUGAUGACGUAAGUCCAAAGAUUUAUCGCCCAGGGAUGAGCCCGCGUAGGAUUAGCUAGUUGGUGAGGUAAAGGCUCACCAAGGCGACGAUCCUUAGCUGGUCUGAGAGGAUGAUCAGCCACACUGGGACUGAGACACGGCCCAGACUCCUACGGGAGGCAGCAGUAGGGAAUAUUGGACAAUGGGGGCAACCCUGAUCCAGCAAUGCCGCGUGAGUGAUGAGGCCUUAGGGUUGUAAAGCUCUUUUACCCGGGAUGAUAAUGACAGUACCGGGAGAGUAAGCCCCGGCUAACUCCGUGCCAGCAGCCGCCGUAACAC